rnacentral:rRNA from 1 species
UAGUCCACGCCCUAAACGAUGAGGACUGGCUGUUGGCGCUAUAGACGCGUCGGUAGCGAAGCUAACGCGUUAAGUUCUCCGCCUGGGGAGUACGACCGCAAGGUUGAAACUCAAAGGAAUUGACGAGGGCCCGCACAAGCGGUGGAGCAUGUUGUUUAAUUCGAUGCAACGCGAAGAACCUUACCACCCCUUGACAUCCUCGGAACUUGGCAGAGAUGCCUUGGUGCCUUCGGGAACCGAGUGACAGGUGCUGCAUGGCUGUCGUCAGCUCGUGUCGUGAGAUGUUGGGUUAAGUCCCGUAACGAGCGCAACCCUUGUCCUUAUUUGCCAGCACAUUAUGGUGGGAACUCUAAGGAGACUGACGGUGACAAACCGUGGAAGGUGGGGACGACGUCAAGUCAUCAUGGCCCUUACGGGGGUGGGGCUACAAACGUGCUACAAUGGGGG